rnacentral:lncRNA from 1 species
CUGAUGGUUAUUCUGCCCUUGAACUAUACCAUGAAAUUCGUGACCUUUCUAAUGUCAUUUUUUCUGACUUGCUUCUCGUUUUGUGCCUACACAAUCAAGGAUGUUUCGCAUUGUUGCAAACAAGCUAAUCAAAGGGGUGAUCUGUAGUGACUGCAUCUACGUAUGCAUCCACUGUUAAUUCUCAUCUUCAGCUUGAUGUCAUCUAUAUUAUCUAUAGUAUAUUUAGAAAGGUGAGUUUGCUUAUUUGUUUACAAAGGUUAUGGCCAUACAUACCCUUUUGGGAAGACAUUUUCCCAUGUAUUCUGAAAGUUGCAUAUUUGCUUAGCUAGGGACAUGUUUUCCUUAGGCGUUUGGGUUGUUCAUUGUUGUUUAUACCAUACUGCAUGUCCAUAUAGAGAUGAGUGUUGUUUCCAUUAUUGUUUGAGUUGUUAAUUGUUUUGGGUUACGAAGUUUGUCAAUGUUGUUUUUGAGAGACAUUGAAAUAAAAAUUAAAACAUGUCAAAUUAAUGUCUCAAUGUAUUUGACUUGUUUCUAAUAUAAGCACACACUUUUGAGCAGCUGAGAAUCGAUUGGUCAAAGUGUUGGAGGUUGCUUCACUUGCUUGUACAACAUUAGAUGACAAGGUCGAUCUACCUUCAUCAUCUGAUUCUGGUCUGGCGUCUCCAGAAAUGUAUACAAUCAACAAUAUAUGAUGCAGAGACAGCGAAUCAAAUAUUCCUAACAUUACAGGUAAUGCUUAUCAGUUAGUAUUGACUUUAUAUAAGUAAGCCAUAUGAGUACUUGCAUUUGAUGCCUUACAUUUCUAUAUUACUUACUCUUUGCCAUACUUGUUGCUUAUUUCUAAUUCAAAUACUUGCAUGCUAUCAGAAGUGAAUGUUAUUUUCAAUAUUCUGUUUCUAUGAAUGGUUGUCUUGAUUUUGAUUUGCAUAGCUUUGGGAUAAUAUGAUAGAGCAAGGAACAGUUAACCAUUGAUUUGCAUUUUUUUUCUAGAAUCAAAAUUGACUUAAAGCCUUACAUUUCUAUAUUACUUGCUCUUUGUCAUACUUGUUGCUUAUUUGUAAAUCAAAUACUUGCAUGUUAUCUGAAGUGAACGUUGUUUC